CUUGAAAACGGAAAAUAAAAACAGCAGACCUAUGAAGGUCGAAGGGGAAGAAAAGCUGUAUCGAUUGUUGAGAUCUGGCGACUUGUUUAAAUUUCAUCAGCCUCACUUCUAUGAACUCUCAGAGCUGAUUACCAACUCCUACCACUGUUAACCCUCAUCCAGGAACAAGCUUAUGUCUUUAACAUUCUGAGUGGGCUUCAGCAUCCUUGCAUAUGUUCAAUUCUUAAAAACCUGUUGAAAUAAAAGAUCAGGAGACAUAGGAAGGAUGCCAGAAGAGAGCGUGGCCUCACGUGUACCAGCUCUCUGCUCUCCUUUGCCUUGGGACGUUCCAUCCCUGGAAGUUUCCCUGCCCACAUCUUUGUAGAGAGUCCAUUCUCCAAGCUUCAGUGUGUCAUCUGUGAGGACCGUGACCCACCUGGUACAUCGCCUCAGGGCAUUCAUUUCAGGCUCCUUCUAAAUGGCCAAGAGACAACACCAACAUUUUUGUAAUGGCCUGCAAGGCCUUCCGAGAUCUACCUCCUGCAACUCAGCUUCUCCUGUGCUCUCCUUCUGGACUCACUCUGCCUCAGCAACACUGGUCCCUGUUGCCCCACCAAUAUGCCAGCUGCACUGAUGAGGAAACUGAAACAGAAAAUCCAGAGUAAAUUCCACCAGGCCACACAGCAAGGUCUGAUAGAGCCAGGAGAGACUUUAUGAAAUCCAGACUCUCACACUAAUGCUCUAUCAGCUAGACCUCCAUGAACUGAAAAUGAAAGAACCAAAAUAGAUAUCAACAGAUAAUUAAAGGAACGUUUGGAAGUUUUUUACCUCAUGCAAACCUCAAACUCUGAACCACUACUGCCUAAAGGAAAUAAAUACUGUGUUAUGACUUUGAAAAAGUGAAGUGGCCAUGUUAGGAGGCCCAGAUGGUAAGGAGCUGAGGGAGGCCUCCAGGAAAUGGCCAGCAAGAAGCCGGCUCCCUCAGCCUUGUAGCUACAAGAAAAUGAAUUCUGCCAGCAAUCUGAGUGAACUUGGAAGCUGAUUCUUCCUCUGUCAAGCCUCCAGAUGAGAAUCUCAGUCACAGCCAACACCUUGACUGCAGUCCUUAGCAGAGGACUCUGCCAAGCUGUGCCAGGACUCCUGACCUGCAGAAAUUGUGAGUUAGUCAUGCUGCUGAAACCCCGAAUGCUCACCCAGAAGAGUUCCUUUGCAGUGAAAGCCUAAGUGAGAUUGCACCUUCAACUGGCAUCACUCCACCUUACAGGAUCCUGAAAGCUUUCAAAUCCACCUCAAGCCCAGGCAGUGUCAAAGAAGGAGAGGAAUUGAAGAAGCAAAAAUAAAUAUUAAAGUACA
rnacentral:lncRNA from 1 species